rnacentral:rRNA from 1 species
GAUGAACGCUGACAGAAUGCUUAACACAUGCAAGUCGACUUGAAUUUGGGUUUUUUAACUUAGAUUUGGGUGGCGGACGGGUGAGUAACGCGUAAAGAACUUGCCUCACAGCUAGGGACAACAUUUGGAAACGAAUGCUAAUACCUGAUAUUAUGAUUAUAAGGCAUCUUAGAAUUAUGAAAGCUAUAUGCGCUGUGAGAGAGCUUUGCGUCCCAUUAGCUAGUUGGAGAGGUAACGGCUCACCAAGGAGAUGAUGGGUAGCCGGCCUGAGAGGGUGAACGGCCACAAGGGGACUGAGACACGGCCCUUACUCCUACGGGAGGCAGGAGUGGGGAAUAUUGGACAAUGGACCAAGAGUCUGAUCCAGCAAUUAUGUGUGCACGAUGACGUUUUUCGGAAUGUAAAGUGCUUUCAGUUGGGAAGAAAAAAAUGACGGUACCAACAGAAGAAGUGACGGCUAAAUACGUG